AACGCGAAGAACCUUACCUAAUCUUGACAUCCUUUGACCGCUCUAGAGAUAGAGUCUUCCCCUUCGGGGGACAAAGUGACAGGUGGUGCAUGGUUGUCGUCAGCUCGUGUCGUGAGAUGUUGGGUUAAGUCCCGCAACGAGCGCAACCCUUAAGCUUAGUUGCCAUCAUUAAGUUGGGCACUCUAGGUUGACUGCCGGUGACAAACCGGAGGAAGGUGGGGAUGACGUCAAAUCAUCAUGCCCCUUAUGAUUUGGACUACACACGUGCUACAAUGGAUAAUACAAAGGGCAGCGAAUCCGCGAGGCCAAGCAAAUCCCAUAAAAUUAUUCUCAGUUCGGAUUGUAGUCUGCAACUCGACUACAUGAAGCUGGAAUCGCUAGUAAUCGUAGAUCAGCAUGCUACGGUGAAUACGUUCCCGGGUCUUGUACACACCG
rnacentral:rRNA from 1 species